GACGAACGCUGGCGGCGUGCUUAACACAUGCAAGUCGAACGGACGAGUGAGAUAAGUUUACUUAACUCACAAGUUAGUGGCGGACGGGUGAGUAACACGUGGAUAAUCUACCUGCAACACCGGGAUAACGCUGUGAAAACGGUGCUAAUACCGGAUACGUUCCCUUGUGCGCAUGUAUGAGGGAAGAAAGCUCAGGCGGUUGCAGAUGAGUCCGCGGCUGAUUAGCUAGUUGGUGAGGUAAAGGCUCACCAAGGCGAUGAUCAGUAGCCGGCCUGAGAGGGUGAACGGCCACACUGGGACUGAGACACGGCCCAGACUCCUACGGGAGGCAGCAGUGGGGAAUCUUCCGCAAUGGGCGCAAGCCUGACGGAGCAACGCCGCGUGGGUGAAGAAGGCCUUCGGGUUGUAAAGCCGUGUCUUAUGGGUAAGAAGUCAGUGACGGUACCAUAGGAGGAAGCCACGGCUAACUACGUGCCAGCAGCCGCGGUAAAAGUACUAGUAC
rnacentral:rRNA from 1 species